GACGAACGCUGGCGGCGUGCUUAACACAUGCAAGUCGAACGCUGAAGACCUGGCUUUUGUUGGGUUGGAUGAGUGGCGAACGGGUGAGUAACACGUGAGUAACCUGCCCUCUUCUUUGGGAUAACGCCCGGAAACGGGUGCUAAUACUGGAUAUUCACUGAUCUUCGCAUGGGGGUUGGUGGAAAGGUUUGUUCUGGUGGGGGAUGGGCUCGCGGCCUAUCAGCUUGUUGGUGGGGUGAUGGCCUACCAAGGCUUUGACGGGUAGCCGGCCUGGGAGGGUGACCGGUCACAUUGGAACUGAGAUACAGCCCAGACGCCUACGGGAGGCAGCAGUGGGGAAUAUUGCACAAUGGGCGAAAGCCUGAUGCAGCGACGCCGCGUGAGGGAUGGAGGCCUUCGGGUUGUAAACCUCUUUCGCUCAUGGUCAAGCCGCAACUGUGGGUUGUGGUGAGGGUAGUGGGUAAAGAAGCGCCGGCUAACUACGUG
rnacentral:rRNA from 1 species